GCGGUCGUGGCGGAAUUGGCAGACGCACUAGCUUGAGGUGCUAGCGGGAGCAAUCUCGUGGAGGUUCAAGUCCUCUCGACCGCACCA
rnacentral:tRNA from 2 species